CGGACGGGUGAGUAAUGCCUAGGAAUCUGCCUGGUAGUGGGGGUACAACGUUUCGAAAGGAACGCUAAUACCGCAUACGUCCUACGGGAGAAAGCAGGGGACCUUCGGGCCUUGCGCUAUCAGAUGAGCCUAGGUCGGAUUAGCUAGUUGGUGAGGUAAUGGCUCACCAAGGCGACGAUCCGUAACUGGUCUGAGAGGAUGAUCAGUCACACUGGAACUGAGACACGGUCCAGACUCCUACGGGAGGCAGCAGAC
rnacentral:rRNA from 1 species